AUGACUUUCAUCACCAUCCUCAUCUGGACACUGACCUGCUGCUGUUUUAAAGAGUCCAGAGGUCAGGUGACCGUGACUCAGACUCCUGCAGUGAAAUCUGCUCUUCCAGGAGACUCUGUUACUGUCAGAUGUAAGACCAACACAGCCGUUGACACCUGUAGCAGUUCUCACGACUGUUUGUCCUGGUACCAACAGAAACCUGGAGAGGCUCCUAAACUUCUGAUUUAUGUUGCAAGCACCCGUGAGUCUGGAGUUCCAGAUCGUUUCCGUGGCAGUGGAUCUGGGACUGACUUCACUCUGACCAUCAGUAACAUCCAGACUGAAGAUGCAGGAGAUUAUUACUGUCACAGUUACCACUGGAUCAAUAGCCAACAUGUGUUCACACAUUGUGGAGGAAUCAAACUGGAUGUUGGCAGUGACACCCAGCCCACCCUCACGGUCCUGCCCCCCUCCAGCGUGGAGCUGCAGCAGGGGAAAGCCACACUCAUGUGUCUGGCCAACAAGGGCUUCCCCUCAGACUGGAAGCUGAACUGGAAGGUGGAUGGUAAGAGUUGGAGUUCAGGGGUGAGCUCCAGCCCUGGGGUUUUACAGAAGGACGGUCUCUACAGCUGGAGCAGCACCCUCACCCUCCAGGAGGAGCAGUGGAGUAAGAUGUCAGUGACCUGUGAGGCCACACAGGGCUCCCAGUCUGCAGUGACCCAGACACUGAGGAAAGACCAGUGUUCUGAGUAGUGAGAACACACACACACA